ACCCCAUUUCUACUAUGUAGCAAAAAAGAGCCCCAAAUGUGUCUACAAGCCAGCACUGCAGACACUAGUGUAGUACCUAAGAUAUUGCUGAGAUUCAUUUCACUAGUGACAGAAACUUAGAUCGGAGUCUGUUAAACCCUUUCAAACAUUUUCAGCCCCCAAUAUUUAAUGCAGUAAAGAACUGAGGUCUCAGGAAGUGGGCAAAGAAGUCUGCAGGCUGCUUCUGUUGUAAAGCGUUUAGUUCUUCAGAGUUAAACGUUGAACCCAAAUCACGUGCUUUCCUCAUGCAGCAGGAAGAGACGCCACCUGGACCGAAAGACCCUUUAAUUCAGACUCUUACUUCGAAUGCAGAGGCAAACAAUAUGUUAAAAGGACACGGUAUAAAAAAAAUUUGUUGGAGUUCAGCUAUGUAACUCUCUCAGAUACAAGAUUUAUUUAAGCGACUCCCUCACAGGAAAGUUUUACAACAGAGGAGAUCAGAGGGGCCAUAGACAAGAUUACUGCCAGUUUGUGGAUUCAUUUUUAGAUGGCCGCACAGGACAACAGCCCGCCUCUGACCCACCAAAGAAGGCUACUUCAGAGCCGUUUGUCAAGAACCUGUCCGAUUUGGAUAGGCGGUCAUACCCAAAUCAAUUAUGUCCAGUGGUAUGAAUGUGGGACCACAAUUCCUGGGAAAUGGUAGCUGCAGCACAACUGUUUCCAAAGUGCUUCUGGUUCAUUUUCACAAAAGGAAACAAAGAACCGGUUGGAAAUCCUAUGGUGUUUGCCACCCCCACUCCAAGCUGUUUGUUUACUGUGUACGAAAGUCUGCAGGCUAACUGAGAGCAGCACUAGAUGUUCAUUGUUAGAAAAGAUUUCUGAGACUAUCGGGUUUACAAAGAUGUUUUAAGAAAGCAAGAUAUUAUUAACAUUAAUAGUAUAACAUUUUUAGGG